rnacentral:rRNA from 1 species
GGAGUCUGGGCCGUGUCUCAGUCCCAAUGUGGCCGUUCAACCUCUCAGUCCGGCUACUGAUCGUCGGCUUGGUGGGCCGUUACCUCACCAACUACCUAAUCAGACGCGAGCUCAUCUUUCGGCGAAAUUCAUUUGAUAACAAAGUCAUGCGGCUUCGUUAUGUUAUGAGGUAUUAACAAUCGUUUCCAAUUGGUAUCCCUCUCCGAAAGGCAGAUUGCUCACGUGUUACUCACCCGUCCGCCACUAGCUAGACCAGCAAGCUGGUUUCGCUCGUUCGACUUGCAUGUGUUAAGCGUGCCGCCAGCGUUCGUCCUCGAGCCAUGAUCAAACUACU